GAUGAACGCUGGCGGCGUGCCUAAUACAUGCAAGUCGAGCGAACAGACGAGGAGCUUGCUCCUCUGACGUUAGCGGCGGACGGGUGAGUAACACGUGGAUAACCUACCUAUAAGACUGGGAUAACUUCGGGAAACCGGAGCUAAUACCGGAUAAUAUAUUGAACCGCAUGGUUCAAUAGUGAAAGACGGUUUUGCUGUCACUUAUAGAUGGAUCCGCGCCGCAUUAGCUAGUUGGUAAGGUAACGGCUUACCAAGGCAACGAUGCGUAGCCGACCUGAGAGGGUGGUCGGCCACACUGGAACUGAGGCACGGUCCAGACUCCUACGGGAGGCAGCAGUAGGGAAUCUUCCGCAAUGGGCGAAAGCUUGACGGAGCAACGCCGCGUGAGUGAUGAAGGUCUUCGGAUCGUAAAGCUCUGUUAUUAGGGAAGAACAAAUGUGUAAGUAACUAUGCACGUCUUGACGGUACCUAAUCAGAAAGCCACGGCUAACUACGUG
rnacentral:rRNA from 1 species